CUGCUCUUGUCAGAUCAUGCCACUGUGCUGAAACAAUGGGCUGGACAAGAUGCCUCAGAAGAGCUACAUGCUGCAGAUUUUGUUUCCGUGCUCAAACACAGCCUGCACAAACUGCUUGAAGACUCUGUCCAUUGAAUUCAGAUGGCCAAAAGUAUUCAGAGGUGAAUGGCUAGUACAUUGAUCCACUGGGUAACCUACAGAAGAACCCUUGGAAUGGAAAAAAUAAAACUACAAAAAAUUGUGAUUAGGUUCUACAAAAAAAUUACAUUAUAUUUUAACAGAAAUAAACAAACAGCUCUUCUGCCAGACAAAGCAUAUCUCCUCACCUAUCCCUGUCUCGGAUGUAAAUUAAGCAUUGUAAAACAAUGGAAGCCCUAUUUGCAUGUAGCGCUAACAGGAAAAACCGGUUGAUUGGGGGAUGUGAAACCAACUGGGUGCGGAGCACGUUGGAGAACAAGCAACAGGGAGAAGAGUCUUAUCUGGGGAUGCACUUCAAAAGGGGCAUGUCAAAGAUUUACUGGACUAUAUGAGGAAGGAAAAAGGCCCCCUUUCCGAUCCUUCACUGAGGGAGCAAAAAAGACAUCGCUUUUCACAUUCAUGAAAACUGAAUCCUGGCCAUGUGGACUAGUGAUGCUGGGAGGUUGCUUUAGCUGCAUCAGCCAUGCCUGUACUAGGUACUUUAAACUGAAACUGCCAUCACUGAGGCAUGCCUGGAAAUAAGAGAUACAGCUUCGUCAUGUUGGAUCAAGAUCCUUGUGCACAUUAUUCUGAUUAUGGAUCAAGUCCAUGAUGUCUCCCAUUAUGUUUAUAAGUGCAAAAGAUAUCAAAAGCUGCAUUUACAGAUGAUGUAAGAGCAAAUGGCUGUGCAAUUAAAGGAAACAGAUGCAGUGUCUGCACUUCUUAUGGUCAAUCAGCUUUGAACAAUUGAAAAUGGGGAUAAAACCUUCUAAACUGUAAUUAGAAUGUUAAGUGACACAGACUCACAUCUGGUGGAUUUGCACCUCAUCUAGCAGACAGGUGUAGCCAGAUUCAUACAGGGAGUUGUCUGGAUACGAGAAUAAUCCUGAAGUAGCUCUUCUAAGGCCUGGUCUACACUAGGACUUUAAUUCGAAUUUAGCAGCGUUAAUUCGAACUAACCGCUCAACCGUCCACACCAG